AUGAACCUAUGUUUACUAGCCUCUUGGGUUAGGAAGCAUGAGCAUGGGGCUCAGAAGAUAUGGAAGGACAUUGUUGGUUUCAAGUACAAGAACUGCUCUCCCAACAUAUUUUCUUGCCCAACCUUGCAUGCCUCCCCCUUCUGGAAAGGGGUUAUUUGGGCUGCCCAAGCUGCUAAGUUUGGGUAUAAUUGGCAGGUAGGUAAUGGGGGGGUGAAGUUUUGGUAGAGUCAAUGGUUUGGCACUUGUAGCCUAGCUAUCCAAUUCUGGGAGCUCUAUUCCAUUUCGAAUGAGCAGAAAAUCACUAUUGCAGAGGCUUGGGAUGGUACCAACCUAAAAAUAACAUUCAAAAGAUGUGUGGAUGAUAGGCUCCUACAUCAAUGGCUUGACCUUCUUUGUAUUGCUCAAUCCCUAUCUCUGAAUGAAAAUGAUGAUGCUCUCGUUUGGAAACUAGAAUCCAAGGGGGAAUAUACUGUCAGCUCUGUGUAUGUAGUGCUAAACUUUAGAGGAAAUAUGUCUGUCCAUGUGCCUGCUGUCUGGAAGAUACAUGCCCUCCCCUCCAGGAUCCAUAUUUUCCUUUGGUUGCUCGCUCACAAUAAGCAGCUUACCAGGGACAAUUUGACAAAGUUGGGCGGUCGUUGA
rnacentral:rRNA from 1 species